ensembl:lncRNA
GUCAGAAAUGAAAGCCUGGGCUGCAAUUAUUAAAGGUCUGAAUUUGCAUUUUUCAGCAAUCCAGAGAUAUGGUAACAGCUACUGUUAUGAUCAUUAUCAUUAUGAAGUUCUUUGUGUGCACUUCUUCUAACAAAGUGGUUGGUCAGCUGUUAGAUGCCUUUCCAGUUAUCAGAUUAUCUCAUAGUAAAUCAAAAAGAACACCAGAUUAAAAUGAUAGCUUCAUAUAUUCACAGAUGGUAAAUUCUUUAUAACUGAAUCAACUGGAUGCAGUGCCUAGUGCUAGCAGUUAGCACAGGAAAUUUGCAGAAGCUAAAAAUACAGUGACGGACUUAUUUGUAAAUAGCUGAUAGGACUUUGUCUCCAAACCCUGCUCUCUUUCCACCAGUCCUCCUUGUUGAGGCAGCUAGACUAGACAGCCUCUUAGAACUGAAAACUGACCUCUCAAGCUUACUAUGUAUUGAAGAGCUGCCUGAGGGAGAAUGUUAAAGACACAAUGGCUCUUAAUAAAACAUUACUGGCCUGAAAUACUUGUGAGGACUAACCUGAGAGAAUAGAGUGCAAGAUUCCUUCUGGAGUAGUGGGAGGCUAGGCUAUCUUUGCCAAAAAUCAGACACAUUCAGAUCAUUGUUUAACUGAGUUGACUGAGUAAAAUAGGCAGCCCCAGCCUUUCUCUGUAAAUGAGUAUCUCUAGACCCGCCUUGGAUCAUCUCCAAAGCCAGCUCAAGCAUAGAUCCACUGAAAUGGUGUCUCAGAAGCUUGUCUUCUGUAUAAGUACCUGACAGGAAAAGAUGAAAGCCAAGCAGAGGUUUACUGUUCCUAGGGAAGUUUGAAGCAUGAUUAGAUGUCUGCACAUCCCUCGUCUUGGUGUGGAGACAGUCUGUAAAGAUGGAGCCUUGCAUAGCAUCCUCUGGAUGCCAUAUAUAAGCUCAGACAGAUAUUGAGAGAAAAGUUGAAAGACAGCAUCUACAUUUUCUGUACAUUCCCUCCCUCUCUGGCUGCUGCUGGCAUGAUCACACUUCCAAAGCUCUUGGUCCACCUUGCUGUACUCUAUAUGCAGAAGUUCAGAGAGUUAAUGUUUUUCCAGCAUCCAGCUGCUGCAUAACUAAGGAAAAAGAAGUAAUCUAGCAGAUUUCUGGACAGCUAGCAGCAUUUCUAUGCAAAAGUGAUCAUGCAGUAAAAGAACAGUACACUCAUCCUUGAAGUGAGACACCUGACCAUGUAAGCACUUGGAUGCCCAUUUUUCUCCCAGUCCUCUACAAUUUAGAAGGAAGUGACUUGUGAUCUGCUUCUUCAGCCUUUGUUUAACCCUCUUUGCAUCACAUAGGCAAUGGAGUUUAGAACUGCAGCAGCUUAGCACACUGUAGGGGCUUGCUUUGUAUGUGACCAUUAUACCUGCAAGUGUACCCUGAUGUGAUCCAUAUUUGUGUGCCUCAGUAAGUUUCAGAUUCCAGAAAGCAUUUAACUGACGUGCAGCAUUUGAAGAAAUUGAAUAGUUUCUGCUGACCAUAUCAAUCAUGUUUAGCCAAAGUGGCCAAUUGCAUCUCUCUCCGUAUUUCUCUGUUUAGUUCAAACGUUUCAUGUAGAAAAUUGCCAUUGAUAUUACAGAAGAUGAUUUUCACUUUCUGUUAAAUCAGAGAAAUUUAUUUCACAGUUGCUUAAGGAUUUAUGUUUUUGUCCUUGUUUUACCUCUUCAGUGUAGCCAUUGAGUCUUAGUUCUUGCUCAGGAGCACACAUUAAAAUAGAAGAAACAUACAGGCAGACAAACAUACAUAGCUGGGGGAAACAAAGUUGACUGCAAUAGCAGCUUAUUCAUUAUUUUUGUCAGAAAUAUAUCAACCAUUAGGAAGCCUGCUAGUGGUUAAUGUGCAGUAGCACUAGUACACUAAGUACACUAAGCACACUAGUACUUGGCAAAUAGCCACUGCUGGCCAGAUUUAUUCAACAAUUUCUGCAACUGCAGCUUUUGUGGUCCUAGAUCUCCCCCUGUGCUGAGAUAGGCAUCAAUUCUUUACCCCUGUGGAUGUUCAGUAUUGCAUAAGAAGGCCCAUUAUUUAAAAUUCCCGUUCUUUUAUCACAUUUAAAAAUUUAGUUCUAUGCACUCUACUGCGUUACUGUGUUCUUAUUGCUCUGGCUAUGAUAUUAAAUAUCACAAGCUAAGCAAGGUCGGUCCAACUUAGUACUCAGAGCAAAAGCUUCAAGCAAGCGUCUUUACCCUCUGUGUGAUAUGAGAGAGAUUUGCUUUGAGGACAAGAAUAGGAGGUCUAAGAGGUCUGUUCACGUGAUGUGACAAUUUAGUCACACAGAGGUGAAAGCCUCAGCUCUCCAGACAUACUGUAUUCUAAAUAAUUAUAUUUUCCAUACCCAACUUUCAACAUUUGCAGAA